CAGGCAUACAGUAACGAGGUAGGUAGUUUCUGGGUAGAUCCAUUAUCUUUUACACUGAUGAGAAUGUGAACGAUGAUGGUAACCAACUCCUGUUUUCCAUGCCAGUUCUGCGCACAGCUCCCCUCGAAGUCCGCCAAUGAGGACGUGCACUAGCACUGCUUAUUCCAGCAUAUCAAGGCAUCCGGAGACCUGAACUCCAUGCUGUACUAUGCUGCUAAACAAGUAACCUCUCUCAGAAGCAGCAGGACUAGAACACAAAAGCAACCCCAUUGAGGAUAAUUGAAAAAAGCCUUCAGUUCCUGGAUGAAGUCACACUGGCUAGAGGGAGCACAGCACCGCUUCACAGUGAUCACGGACCACAAAAUCCUGCAGGACCUCCAAACCACCAGAGGCUGAAUUUCAGACCUCCUGGUCUCUCAGGGCAACAUGGUGGUCCUCAUUAUUGUCGAUCCCUUGUCGAAGAUGCUCCAGUUUGUUCCACUCCCGGCACUUCCCACUGCACUCAAAACAGAUGGAUUUCAAACAAACUUACAUUCAGUGAACCCAGACUCGGACUUCUAGAAACCUGCAAUAGAUUUCUGUUGCUUUUGUUCAUUAUUGCUUGUUUUCUUCCUGUUGUGAUACCCGGUGUUGACCAGAGGACGAUGGGCUUUCCUUCGAUUCUUGGUUCCUCUCAAGGUUUCUUCUUCAUGCUCUUUGGUAGUUUUUCCUUGUCAAUGUUGCCUUUGGCUCAGACACUGUAGGCUGCUUUGUGAGAAUACCUGUUGUAAAAAGUGCUAUAUAAAUAAAAUUGAC